rnacentral:rRNA from 1 species
GUCGAGCGGAGUGAUGGUGCUUGCACUAUCACUUAGCGGCGGACGGGUGAGUAAUGCUUAGGAAUCUGCCUAUUAGUGGGGGACAACAUUUCGAAAGGAAUGCUAAUACCGCAUACGUCCUACGGGAGAAAGCAGGGGAUCUUCGGACCUUGCGCUAAUAGAUGAGCCUAAGUCGGAUUAGCUAGUUGGUGGGGUAAAGGCCUACCAAGGCGACGAUCUGUAGCGGGUCUGAGAGGAUGAUCCGCCACACUGGGACUGAGACACGGCCCAGACUCCUACGGGAGGCAGCAGUGGGGAAUAUUGGACAAUGGGCGCAAGCCUGAUCCAGCCAUGCCGCGUGUGUGAAGAAGGCCUUAUGGUUGUAAAGCACUUUAAGCGAGGAGGAGGCUACUGAAGUUAAUACCUUCAGAUAGUGGACGUUACUCGCAGAAUAAGCACCGGCUAACUCUGUGCCAGCAGCCGCGGUAAUACAGAGGGUGCAAGCGUUAAUCGGAUUUACUGGGCGUAAAGCGCGCGUAGGCGGCUAAUUAAGUCAAAUGUGAAAUCCCCGAGCUUAACUUGGGAAUUGCAUUCGAUACUGGUUAGCUAGAGUGUGGGAGAGGAUGGUAGAAUUCCAGGUGUAGCGGUGAAAUGCGUAGAGAUCUGGAGGAAUACCGAUGGCGAACGCAG